UACGAAGGGGGCUAGCGUUGCUCGGAAUCACUGGGCGUAAAGGGUGCGUAGGCGGGUCUUUAAGUCAGGGGUGAAAUCCUGGAGCUCAACUCCAGAACUGCCUUUGAUACUGAGGAUCUUGAGUUCGGGAGAGGUGAGUGGAACUGCGAGUGUAGAGGUGAAAUUCGUAGAUAUUGGGAAGAACACCGGUGGCGAAGGCGGCUCACUGGCUCGUUACUGACGCUCAGGCGCGACAGCGUGGGGAUCAAACAGG
rnacentral:rRNA from 1 species